ACAACGCCCAACCAACGCCACACACGUAUCGGCACCGCCUUCGGGGUGCUGCGACUCGCCCAUCACGCAGUUCAAUGACUGCACCGGGCAAGCCGCGGUCGAAGCCGGGGAUGCGUGGAGGUCCCAAC
rnacentral:sRNA from 1 species